CAACUUUCAACAACGGAUCUCUUGGCUCUCGCAUCGAUGAAGAACGCAGCGAAACGCGAUAUGUAAUGUGAAUUGCAGAAUUCAGUGAAUCAUCGAAUCUUUGAACGCACCUUGCGCCUUUUGGUAUUCCGAAAGGCAUGCCUGUUUGAGUGUCAUG
rnacentral:rRNA from 1 species